rnacentral:SRP_RNA from 1 species
GCCGGGCAUGGUGGUGAGCGCCUGUAAUCCCAGCUACUCAGGAGGCUGAGGCAGAAGAAUUGCUUGAACCCUGGAGGCGGAGAAUGCAGUGAGCAGAGAUCAUGCCACUGCACUCCAGCCUGGGUAACAGAGCAAGACUCUGUCUCAA